rnacentral:tRNA from 1 species
GAGAAAUACCCAAGUGGUUGAAGGGGUCGGUCUUGAAAACCGAAAGGUCGUGUGAGCGGCGCGUGGGUUCGAAUCCUACUUUCUCC